rnacentral:rRNA from 1 species
GACGAACGCUGGCGGCGUGCCUAAUACAUGCAAGUAGAACGCUGAAGGCGGAGCUUGCUCUGCUGGAUGAGUUGCGAACGGGUGAGUAACGCGUAGGUAACCUGCCUGGUAGCGGGGGAUAACUAUUGGAAACGAUAGCUAAUACCGCAUAAGAGUAGAUGUUGCAUGGCAUUGGCUGGAAAGGUGCAAUUGCAUGACUACCAGAUGGAGCUGCGGUGCAUUAGCUAGUGGGUGGGGUAACGGCUCACCAUGGCGGCGAUACAUAGCCCCACGGAGAGGGGGGUUGGCCGCACUGAGAGGGUGACACGGCCCAGAGGCCUACGGGAAGGAGCAGGAGGGCAACGGGAGGAAGGGGCGGAAGUCUGACCGAGCAAGGCCGAGGGAGUGAAGAAGGUUGUCGGGUCGGAAAGCUCUGUUGUAAGGGAAGAAAGAGUGUGAGCGUGUAACGUUCACUGUGUGACGGUAUCUGACCAGAAAGCAACGGCUAACUACGUG